AAGUCGUAACAAGGUUUCCGUAGGUGAACCUGCGGAAGGAUCAUUAUCGAGUUUUAAAUCCAGUCGUCUCUGGCUGUGCAUUUACUUGCACGCUCGUGUCAAUUGGCUCUUUAACUUCACACACCUGUGCACCUUCAGGCUGUCUGUUCCGCGUUCAUGCGCUUUAUGUGCGUGGAUACUUAUCUGCUCUUCGGAGUGGGAUUUGAGUGUUGCGGCGAACCUCUUGGGCUCGCAGCUCACUUUGGAGCGACACGUCUGCUUUUUUACACCAUUUUGUAUGUCUUUGAAUUACAUGGCUGCUCUGUGAUGGAGUGGUUAAAAAUAAAUACAACUUUCAGCAACGGAUCUCUUGGCUCUC
rnacentral:misc_RNA from 1 species